rnacentral:rRNA from 1 species
UAGGAAUCUUGCGCAAUGGACGAAAGUCUGACGCAGCGACGCCGCGUGCGGGAUGAAGGCCCUCGGGUUGUAAACCGCUUUCAGUGGGGAAGAAAAUGACGGUACCCACAGAAGAAGCCCCGGCCAACUACGUGCCAGCAGCCGCGGUAAUACGUAGGGGGCGAGCGUUGUCCGGAAUUACUGGGCGUAAAGAGCUCGUAGGCGGUUAGGAAAGUCGAAAGUGAAAUCUCUGUGCUCAACACAGAGCGGUCUUUUGAUACUUCCUUGACUAGAGUUCGGUAGAGGAGUGUGGAAUUCCCAGUGUAGCGGUGAAAUGCGCAGAUAUUGGGAGGAACACCAACAGCGAAGGCAGCACUCUGGGCCGAUACUGACGCUGAGGAGCGAAAGCGUGGGUAGCAAAC